rnacentral:hammerhead_ribozyme from 1 species
AUUCACCUGACGUGUCCCGAAUAGGACGAAACACAUGUCUUGGAU